GGGGAGCGGCAGACGGGUGAGUAACGCGUGGGAAUCUACCCUUGACUACGGAAUAACGCAGGGAAACUUGUGCUAAUACCGUAUGUGUCCUUCGGGAGAAAGAUUUAUCGGUCAAGGAUGAGCCCGCGUUGGAUUAGCUAGUUGGUGGGGUAAAGGCCUACCAAGGCGACGAUCCAUAGCUGGUCUGAGAGGAUGAUCAGCCACAUUGGGACUGAGACACGGCCCAAACUCCUACGGGAGGCAGCAGUGGGGAAUAUUGGACAAUGGGCGCAAGCCUGAUCCAGCCAUGCCGCGUGAGUGAUGAAGGCCCUAGGGUUGUAAAG
rnacentral:rRNA from 1 species